GAGUGGGCGUAGUCCGGUGCGC
rnacentral:siRNA from 1 species